rnacentral:rRNA from 1 species
AUUGAACGCUGGCGGCAUGCCUUACACAUGCAAGUCGAACGGCAGCACGGGUGCUUGCACCUGGUGGCGAGUGGCGCACGGGUGAGUAACGCGUGGGUAACCUGCCCUUGAGUUGGGGAUAACCCCGCGAAAGCGGGGUUAAUACCGAAUGAUAUUCCGACUUCCACGGGGGUUGGAAUCAAAGGUGGCCUCUGCAUGCAAGCUACUGUUCAAGGAUGGGCCCGCGUACCAUUAGCUUGUUGGUAGGGUAAUGGCCUACCAAGGCAUCGAUGGUUAGCUGGUCUGAGAGGAUGGCCAGCCACACUGGAACUGAGACACGGUCCAGACUCCUACGGGAGGCAGCAGUGGGGAAUCUUGCGCAAUGGGGGAAACCCUGACGCAGCAACGCCGCGUGGGUGAUGAAGGCCUUCGGGUCGUAAAGCCCUGUCAGGUGGGAAGAACCGUAUCGGUACAAACAGUGCCGAUGCUUGACGGUACCACCGGAGGAAGCACCGGCUAACUCCGUGCCAGCCGCCGCGGUAA